CACAGGUGGUCCCACAGGUGACUCUGGUGCACACGCUCACGGUCUGGUCAGCAUGGGUUCCAGUCUUAUUUAUCUCCACCUUUGUCUGCACUAAUGCUUUCUUAGCUUCCAGGAGUGCCCACCUCUGGGGUGGCUGUCAGGAGGAAGAGGAGGACAACACCCUUUCGGGUUCAAGAUCAUGUCUCUCACCCAAAAGAACACGUUCAGGGUUACCCCAUCGCCUUGUUUGGUGCCAAUGGAUUUGCCUGGCCACUGGUGUCAGCAGCUUUCUUGACCAACAGGAACGGCGUGGUGUGUAAGUGAAAGAAACUUCCAGAACUCACGACCAGCCUUUCUUUGGAACCAUUCUGCUGCCCUGCACUUUCCAGCCUCCAGAGACACAGGUGUCCUCUCCUGCCCAAGCCUCGGGGGCCUAGUUUAGAAGCGACUGCUCAGUGCUGCCAAAGAAAUCCCAGACAGCCUCCUCUCAUCUGAACACUGCGCCAAGCACAAGAGCCUCAUGGGCACCUCCAACCCAGAGCUGGAACUUCACUUG